AUUAGAUCUGUAAAUUAGACAUUUUUUUAACCCCUCUAAUUCUUGUCUUCGCCAAUUGGGACCUUGCCGGUUUGGCACAAGAAGCAAAAAGACAUGUCUGGCUUUGCAGAUGCCAUAGCUGAAUGGUACCCCUGUGAAAUCUCGGCCAUAUCCAUAGGAGAAAAGGAAGAACACCUGGAGAAGCCCAGGUGGAUGAGGAUCUCGGUGAGUGAUUGAGAUAGAUGAGCAGUUAACCUGACCUGGAAUGCAUCCUCCCUUCUCCUCCUGCUCUUUGAACACUUGGCUGCCUUCAAAUCUCAGCUCCAACACCACCUUUAAAGAUGAAGACUGGGGCAGCUAGGUGGUGCAGUGGAUAGAGCACCAGCCUGAAAUCAGGAGGACUUGAGUUCAAAUCUGACCUUAAGAUACUUAACACUUCCUAGCUGUGUAACCUUGGGCAUAUCACUUAACCCCCAUUGCCUCAACCAAAAAAAAAAAAUGACGAGGACUAAGGUCAUCCUUACUUUGCUAUUCCCUCCCCCAAAGAAAUGUCUUUGCAGUGACACAUGUGUUUCCCUCAAAUAGAAUGAAAGUUCCUUGAA